ACAUACGACCACACCCAUUGGAAAACUCGGGAUCCCGUCCGCUCUCCCAUAGAUAAGCCAAUGAGGGCUGAACUAGUAGUUGGGUCGGUGACGACCAGCGAAUCCUCGGUGUUGUAUGUU
rfam:Verticillium albo-atrum VaMs.102 supercont1.3 genomic scaffold, whole genome shotgun sequence.